rnacentral:lncRNA from 1 species
GACUUAGACCUUGCACAGACUUUCCGUGGAUGCUUUUAUUCCCAUAUAGGGAUGAAUGAGAAGUUGGAUAUCCUUCUUCCUUUUCAGGCUGGAAGAGGUCAGUCCUUUAUGCUGAUUUGCAGCUGCAGGAUUUGCCUUGCAGUUAUGCUCAUCCCAGGACUGCCCCACAAUUGUGCUUCCUAGUUUCCUGCCUCAUAGGUAAGUUUGCAGGCUGGCUCCUAAAAUUGAUGCCCAAACAGGAACUUGAAAGGAAGAAGUUCCAAAGGAAUGAGAAAUACAACAAAAAAGGAGAAUCCUGCAAGGAGAAAUCCAAAGGUCUCUGGCAAAAAUGAAAGACCUGGAACUUAUUUUUAAUGCUGGAGUUAGCAUCCAAGGCUUUGUGUAUAUGAGUCAAGAACUCUAUCAUGAAACCACUGAACACUAUUUCUGAAAAAUCUGAGCCAGGCAUGGUGGCAUACCCCUACGCUCCCAAUUCCUCAAGAGACUGAGGCAGAAGAU